rnacentral:pre_miRNA from 1 species
CUUGUACUCCCUCCCUCCGAAAAUACUUGUCACUGAAAUGGAUGUAUCUAGAUGUAUUUUAGUUCUAGACACAUCCAUUUUGAUGACAAGUAAUUCCGAACGGAGGGAGUACUUA